GGCGCAACAGAGUAGUCUAUUGUUGUUCCGGUUUUGGUUAUUGUUAAGGUUGACAUCGAUUCGUUUCAAAUUUACACUCUCGAGGCAUAAUAGAACAAUAUAAUUAGGUUUUACUCUUUGUUCGAUAGAAUGAGAAAAAGUACUCAUUGCAAAGUUAUACUGUUAGGGCGCAACCGAAUAGUCUAAUGUUGUUCCGGUUUUGGUUCUUGUGAACGCUGACAUCAAUUGGUUCGAAAUUACAACUCUCGGGGCAUAAUUGAACAAUAUAAAUUAGGUUUUACUCUUUGUUCGAUAGAAUGAGAAAAAGAACUCGUCGCAAAGUUAUACUGCUAGGGGGCAACUGAGUAGUCUAAUAUUGUUCCGGUUUUGGUUCUUGUGAACGUUGACAUCGAUUCGUUCCAAAUUUACACUCUCGGGGCAUAAUAGAACAAUACAAUUAAGUUUUACUCUUUGUUCGAUCGAAUGAGAAAAAGUACUCGUUGCAAAUUUAUAAUAUUAGGGCGCAGCUGAGUAGUCUAAUGUUGUUCCGGUUUUGGUUCUUGUGAAGGUUGACAUCGAUUCGUUCCAAAUUUACACUCUUGGGGCAUAAUAGAACAAUAUAAUUAGCUUUUACACUUUGUUCGAUCGAAUGGGAAAAAAGUACUCGUUACAAAGUUAUACUGUUAGGGCGCAACUGAGUAGUCUAUUGUUGUUCCAGCUUUGGUUCUUAUGAAGGUUGACAUCGAUUCAUUCCAAAUUUACACUCUCGCGGCAUAAUAGAACAAUAUAAUUAGCUUUUACACUUUGUUCGAUUGAAUGAGAAAAAGUACUAGUUGCAAAGUUAUAUUGUUGGGGUACAACAGAGUAGUCUAUUGUUGUUCCGGUUUUGGUUCUAGUGAAAGUUGACAUCGAUUCGUUCCAAAUUUACACUCUCGGGGCAUAAUGAAUAAAAUAAUUAGCUUUUACACUUUGUUCGAUUGAAUGAGAAAAAGUACUAGUUGCAAAGUUAUACUGUUGGGGCGCAACAGAGUAGUCUACUGUUGUUCCGGUUUUGGUUCUUGUUAAGGUUGACAUCGAUUCAUUCCAAAUUUACACUCUCGGGGCAUAAUAGGACAAUAUAAUUAGGUUUUACUCUUUGUUCGAUAGAAUGAGAAAAAGUACUCAUUGCAAAGUUCUACUGUUAGGGCGCAACUGAAUAGCGUUAUGUUGUUACGGUUUUGGUUCUUGUGAACGUUGACAUCGAUUCGUUCGAAAUUACAACUCUCGCGGCAUAAUUGAACAAUAUAAUUAGGUUUUACACUUUGUUCAAUAGAAUGAGAAAAAGUACUCGUCGCAAAGUUAUACUGUUGGGGCGCAACUAAGUAGUCUAAUGUUGUUCCGGUUUUGGUUCUUGUGAACGUUGACAUCGAUUCGUUCCAAAUUUACACUCUCGGGGCAAAAUAGGACAAUAUAAUUAAGUUUUACGCUUUGUUCGAUCGAAUGAGAAAAUGUACGCGUUGCAAAUUUAUACUGUUAGGGCGCAGCUGGGUAGUCUAAUGUUGUUCCGGUUUCGGUUCAUGUGAAGGUUGACAUCGAUUCGUUCCAAAUGUACACUCUUGGGGCAUAAUAGAACAAUAUAAUUAGCUUUUACACUUUGUUCAAUCGAAUGGAAAAAAAUACUCGUUGCAAAGUUAUACUGUUAGGGCGCAGCUUAGUAGUCUAAUGUUGUUCCGGUUUUGGUUCUUGUGAAGGUUGACAUCGAUUCGUUCUAAAUUUACACUCGCGGGGCAUAAUAGAACAAUAUAAUUAGCUUUUACACUUUGUUCGGUCGAAUGGGAAAAAGUACUCGUUGCAAAGUUAUACUGUUAGGGCGGAACUGAGUAGACUAUUGUUGUUCCGGUUUUGGUUCUUGUGAAGGUUGACAUCGAUUCGUUCCAAAUUUACACUCUUGGGGCAUAAUAGAACAAUAUAAUUAGUUUUUACACUUUGUUCGAUUGAUUAAGAAAAAGUACUAGUUGCAAAGUUAUACUGUUGGGGCGCAACAGAGUAGUCUAUUGUUGUUCCGGUUUUGAUUCUUGCUAAGGUUGACAUCGAUUCGUUCCAAAUUUACACUCUCGGGGCAUAAUAGAACAAUAUAAUUUGGUUUUACUCUUUGUUCGAUAGAAUAAGAAAAAGUAGUCAUUGCAAUGUUAUACUGUUAGGGCGCCACUGAAUAGUCUAAUAUUGUUCCGGUUUUGGUUCUUGUGAACGUUGACAUCGAUUCGUUCGAAAUUACAACUCUCGGGGCAUAAUUGAACAAUAUAAUUAGGUUUUACUCUUUGUUCGAUAGAAUGAGAAAAAGUACUCGUCGCAAAGUUAUACUGCUAGGGCGCAACUGAGUAGUCUAAUGUUGUUCCGAUUUUGGUUCUUGUGAACGUUGACAUCGAUUCGUUCCAAAUUUACACUCUCGGGGCACAAUUGAACAAUAUAAUUAGGUUUUACUCUUUGUUCGAUAAAAAGAGAAAAAGUACUCGUUGCAAAGUUAUACUGUUAGGGCGCAACAGAGUAGUCUAAUGUUGUUCCGGUUUUCGUUCUUGUGAACGGUGACAUCGAUUCGUUCCAAAUUUACACUCUCGGGNCUGGGAACUUGUUGUACACAAUCUCGUCGUUGUGCCUUGGGCGGACAGGGGAGGUACUGUCCGUACGGCGGUCCGCCGCCGUGCCCGAACCGAACCAAAUUGGUAUCGGCCUCGGGGCGGGGGCGUGACAGAAAAAUUACUAGUUGCAAAGUUAUACUGUUGGGGCGCAACAGAGUAGUCUAUUGUUGUUCCGGUUUUGGUUAUUGUUAAGGUUGACAUCGAUUCGUUUCAAAUUUACACUCUCGAGGCAUAAUAGAACAAUAUAAUUAGGUUUUACUCUUUGUUCGAUAGAAUGAGAAAAAGUACUCAUUGCAAAGUUAUACUGUUAGGGCGCAACCGAAUAGUCUAAUGUUGUUCCGGUUUUGGUUCUUGUGAACGCUGACAUCAAUUGGUUCGAAAUUACAACUCUCGGGGCAUAAUUGAACAAUAUAAAUUAGGUUUUACUCUUUGUUCGAUAGAAUGAGAAAAAGAACUCGUCGCAAAGUUAUACUGCUAGGGGGCAACUGAGUAGUCUAAUAUUGUUCCGGUUUUGGUUCUUGUGAACGUUGACAUCGAUUCGUUCCAAAUUUACACUCUCGGGGCAUAAUAGAACAAUACAAUUAAGUUUUACUCUUUGUUCGAUCGAAUGAGAAAAAGUACUCGUUGCAAAUUUAUAAUAUUAGGGCGCAGCUGAGUAGUCUAAUGUUGUUCCGGUUUUGGUUCUUGUGAAGGUUGACAUCGAUUCGUUCCAAAUUUACACUCUUGGGGCAUAAUAGAACAAUAUAAUUAGCUUUUACACUUUGUUCGAUCGAAUGGGAAAAAAGUACUCGUUACAAAGUUAUACUGUUAGGGCGCAACUGAGUAGUCUAUUGUUAUUCCAGUUUUGGUUCUUGUGAAGGUUGACAUCGAUUCGUUCCAAAUUUACACUCUCGGGGCAUAAUAGAACAAUAAAAUUAGCUUUUACACUUUGUUCGAUUGAAUAAGAAAAAGUACUAGUUGCAAAGUUAUAUUGUUGGGGUGCAACAGAGUAGUCUAUUGUUUUUCCGAUUUUGGUUCUGGUGAAGGUUGAUAUCGAUUCGUUCCAAAUUUACACUCUCGGGGCAUAAUGAAUAAAAUAAAUAGCUUUUACACUUUGUUCGAUUGAAUGAGAAAAAGUACUAGUUGCAAAGUUAUACUGUUGGGGCGCAACAGAGUAGUUUACUGUUGUUCCGAUUUUGGUUCUUGUUAAGGUUGACAUCGAUUCAUUCCAAAUUUACACUCUCGGGGCAUAAUAGAACAAUACAAUUAAGUUUUACUCUUUGUUCGAUCGAAUGAGAAAAAGUACUCGUUGCAAAAUUAUGCUGUUAGGGCGCAACUGAGUAGUCUAGUGUUGUUCCGAUUUUGGUUCUUGUGAAGAUUGACAUCGAUUCGUUCCAAAUUUACACUCUCGGGGCAUAAUAGAACAAUAUAAUUAGCUUUUACACUUUGUUCGAUUGAAUGAGAAAAAGUACUAGUUGCAAAGUUAUACUGUUGGGGCGCAACAGAGUAGUCUAUUGUUGUUCCGGUUUUGGUUCUUGUUAAGGUUGACAUCGAUUCGUUCCAAAUUUACACUCUCGGGGCAUAAUAGAACAAUAUAAUUAGGUUUUACUCUUUGUUCGAUCGAAUGAGAAAAAGUACUCGUUGCAAAGUUAUACUGUUAGGGCGCAACUGAGUAGUCUAAUGUUGUUCCGGUUUUGGUUCUUGUGAACGUUGACAUCGAUUCGUUCGAAUUUACACUCUCGCGGCAUAAUAGAACAAUAUAAUUAGGUUUUACACUUUGUUCGAUAGAAUGAGAAAAAGUACUCGUUGCAAAGUUAUACUGUUAGGGCGCAACUGAGUAGUCUAAUGUUGUUCCGGUUUUGGUUCUUGUGAACGUUGACAUCGAUUCGUUCCAAAUUUACACUCUCGGGGCAUAAUAGAACAAUAUAAUUAGGUUUUACGCUUUGUUCGAUUGAAUGAGAAAAAGUACUCGUUGCAAAGUUAUACUGUUAGGGCGCAACUGAGUAGUCUAAUGUUGUUCCGGUUUUGGUUCUUGUGAACGUUGACAUCGAUUCGUUCCAAAUUUACACUCUCGGGGCAUAAUAGAACAAUAUAAUUAGNNNNNNNNNNNNNNNNNNNNNNNNNAGAUCGAUUCGUUCCAAAUUUACACUCUCGGGGCAUAAUAGGAAGUUUUUACUUCUUGUUCGAUAGAAUAAGAAAAAGUACUCAUCGCAAAGUUAUACUGUUAUGGCGCAACUGAGUAGUCUAAUGUUGUUCCGGUUUUGGUUCUUGUCAACGUUGACAUCGAUUCGUUCUAAAUUUACACUCUCGACGCUUGAACAAUAUAAUUAGGUUUUACUCUUUAUUCGAUUGAAUGAGAAAAAGGACUAGUUGCAAUGUUAUACUGUUAGGGCUCAACUGAGUAGUCUAACGUUCUUCCGGUUUUGGUUCUUGUGAACGCUGACAUUGAUUCGUUCCGAAUUUACACCCUUGGGGCAUAAAAGAAAGCUUUUACUCCUUGUUCGAUGAUUGAGAAAAAGUACUCAUUGCAAAGUUAUACUGUUAUGGCGCAAUAGAGUAGUCUAAUGUUGUUCCGGUUUUGGUUCUUGUGAACAUUGACGUCAAUUAGUUCCAAAUUUACACUCUCGGGGCAUAAUAGAACAAUAUUAUUAUGUUUUACGCUUUAUUCGAUUGAACGAGAAAAAGUACUCGUCGCAAAGUUAUUCUAUUAGGCGCAACUGAGUAGUCUAAUGUAGUUCCGGUUAUGGUACUUGUGAACGUUGACAUCGAUUCGUUCCAAAUUUACACUCUCGGGGCAUAAUAGAAAGCUUUUACUCCUUGUUCAAUAGAAUUAGAAAAAGUACUCGUUGCAAAGUUAAACUGUUAAGGCACACAGAGUAGUCUAUUGUUGUUCCGAUUUUGGUUCUUGUCAACGUUGACAUCGAUUCGUUCCAAAUUUACACUCUUGGGGUAUAAUAGAACAAUAUAAUUAGGUUUUACUCUUUAGUCGAUUGAAUGAGAAAAAGUACUAGUUGCAAUGUAAUACUAUCAGGGCUCAACUGAGUAGUCUAACGUUGUUUCUGUUUUGGUUCUUGUGAACGUUGACAUCGAUUCGUUCAAAAUUUACACUCUCGGGGAAUAAUAAAAAGCUUUUACUCCUUACUCGAAACAAUGAGAAAAAGUACACGUUGCAAAGUUAUGCUAUUAUGGCGCAACAGAGUAGCCUAAUGUAGUUCCGGUUUUGGUUCUUGUCAACGUUGACAUCGAUUCGUUCCAAAUAUACACUCUCGGGGCAUAAUAGAACAAUAUCGUUUGGUUUUACUCUUUAUUCGAUUGAAUGAGAGAAAGUACUCGUUGCAAAGUUAUACUGUUAUGGCAAAACUGAGUAGUCAAAUUUAGUUCCUGUUUUGGUUCUUGUGAACUUUGACUUCGAUUCGUUCCAAAUUUAUACUCUCGAGGCAUAAUAGAACAAUAUUAUUAGUUUUGCUAUUUGUUCGAUUGAAUGAGAACAAGUUCUAGUUGCAAAGUUAUACUGUCAAGGCUCAACUGAGUAGUCAAACGUUGUUCCGGUUUUGGUUUUUGUGAACGUCAACAUCGUUACGUUGCAAAUUUACACUCUCGGGGCAUAAUAGAAAGCUUUUACACCUUGUUCGAUAGAAAGAGAAAAAGUACUCGUUGCAAAAUUAUAUUGUUAUGGCGCAACAGAGUAGUCUAAUGUUAUUUCAGGUUUGGUUCUUGUGAACAUUGACAUCGAUUCAUACCAAAUUUACACUCUCGGUGCAUAAUAGAACAACAUAAGUAGGUUUUGCUCUUUGUUCGAUUGAAUGAGAAAAAGUACUAGUUGCAAUCUUAUACUGUUAGGGCUCAACUGAGUUGUCUAACGUUGUUUCGGUUUUGGUUCUCGUGAACGUUGACAUCGAUUCNNNNNNNNNNNNNNNNNNNNNNNNNAUACUGUUAUGGCGCAACUGAGUAGUCUAAUGUUGUUCCAGUUUUGGUUCUUGUGAACGUUGACAUCGAUUCGUUCCAAAUUAAAACUCUCCGGUAAUAAUAGAACAAUAUAAUUAGGUUUUGCUCUUUGUUCGAUUGAAUGAGAAAAAAUACUAGUUGCAAAGUUAUACUGUUAGGGCUCAACUGAGUAGUCUAACGUUGUUCCGGUUUUAGUUCGUGCGAACGUUGACAUUGAUUCGCUCCAAAUUUACACUCUCGGGGCAUAAUAGAUAGCUUUUACUCCUUAUUCGAUAGAAUUAGAAAAAGUACUCGUUGCAAAGUUAAACUGUUAAGGCGCAACUGAGUAGUCUAGCGUUGUUCCAGUUUUGGUUCUUGUGAACGUUGACAUCGAUUCGUUCCAAAUUUACACUCUCGGGGUAUAAUAGAACAAUAUAAUUAGGUUUUACUCUUUGUUCAAUUGAAUAAGAAAAAGUACUGGUUGCAAUGUCAUACUGUUAGGGCUCAACUGAGUAGUCUAACGUUCUUCCGAUUUUGGUUCUCGUGAACGUUG
rnacentral:lncRNA from 1 species